rnacentral:tRNA from 1 species
AAUUGGGUAGUUUAAUAAAAAUAUUGUUUUGAAGCAACAAAGAUAAUUUUAUUUUCCAGUUA